UACAGAGGGGACAAGCGUUGUUCGGAAUUACUGGGCGUAAAGGGCGCGUAGGCGGCCUUCUAAGUCGAACGUGAAAUCCCCGGGCUCAACCCGGGAACUGCGUCCGAUACUGGAAGGCUUGAAUCCGGGAGAGGGAUGCGGAAUUCCAGGUGUAGCGGUGAAAUGCGUAGAUAUCUGGAGGAACACCGGUGGCGAAGGCGGCAUCCUGGACCGGCAUUGACGCUGAGGAGCGAAAGCCAGGGGAGCAAACGGG
rnacentral:rRNA from 1 species